rnacentral:rRNA from 1 species
UUUACGUGGAGGCAGCAGUGGGGAAUUUUGGACAAUGGGCGAAAGCCUGAUCCAGCAAUGCCGCGUGUGUGAAGAAGGCCUUCGGGUUGUAAAGCACUUUUGUCCGGAAAGAAAACCUCCGCCCUAAUAUGGUGGGGGGAUGACGGUACCGGAAGAAUAAGCACCGGCUAACUACGUGCCAGCAGCCGCGGUAAUACGUAGGGUGCAAGCGUUAAUCGGAAUUACUGGGCGUAAAGCGUGCGCAGGCGGUCCGCUAAGACAGAUGUGAAAUCCCCGGGCUUAACCUGGGAACUGCAUUUGUGACUGGCGGGCUAGAGUAUGGCAGAGGGGGGUAGAAUUCCACGUGUAGCAGUGAAAUGCGUAGAGAUGUGGAGGAAUACCGAUGGCGAAGGCAGCCCCCUGGGCCAAUACUGACGCUCAUGCACGAAAGCGUGGGGAGCAAACAGGAUUAGAUACCCUGGUAGUCCACGCCCUAAACGAUGUCAACUAGUUGUUGGGGAUUCAUUUCCUUAGUAACGUAGCUAACGCGGAACGCCCGCUGGAUCCGGCAUCCG